CCCUAAAAGAUUUUUCAUCCUCUUCUUCCUCUCUAAGAUCAGCCGCCUCUCCCUCUUAUCCUUCACCUUCGUUCUCUCCAUUUUUUCCGGCGAGACAACCACCAACGAAGCCGGCAGCUGCUGGCCUCCAUCGUUUCGCCAUCCGCCUCCUCUCCUCUCCGCCUUUUUUCUCCUCUCUCCCGUCAGCAGCCACCGGCGAGCAGGACCAGCAACAGCAGCAGGCUCCACCGGCAAGAAAACAGCAACCAGCAGCACCUCCGACCGGCGAGGGCUCCGAGCAACCAGCAGCCGCAGAAGCCACCAGCAACAGCAAACUCCGACUCUGGCAGAUACUUCUCUGGCCAGCGAACAGCAGCUCCGGCAGGUGACCUCCGGCGAAUCCACAAAGUAUUUCGAUAAGGACAGAUCUUUACAGAUCUGUCCCAGGUUUCGAACUUGAAGUUCAAAUCGAAGAGUCGCCAUGAUACGAGAUUACUCAAUUUCUGUUUUUUUUUUUUUACUUUGUACUUAUUAUUUAUUGCGGUUUGUAAUAAUCUUGUAGCAACUCUAACUCCAUUAUAUACGUGAAGUAUUUUGGGGGAUCAUCUAGGGGGGAAUGGAAUAUGUGCUAAUUGUUUCCUUUUUCUUAGUUUUA